AAGUCGUAACAAGGUCUCCGUUGGUGAACCAGCGGAGGGAUCAUUACCGAGUUUACAACUCCCAAACCCCUGUGAACAUACCAAUUGUUGCCUCGGCGGAUCAGCCCGCUCCCGGUAAAACGGGACGGCCCGCCAGAGGACCCCUAAACUCUGUUUCUAUAUGUAACUUCUGAGUAAAACCAUAAAUAAAUCAAAACUUUCAACAACGGAUCUCUUGGUUCUGGCAUCGAUGAAGAACGCAGCAAAAUGCGAUAAGUAAUGUGAAUUGCAGAAUUCAGUGAAUCAUCGAAUCUUUGAACGCACAUUGCGCCCGCCAGUAUUCUGGCGGGCAUGCCUGUUCGAGCGUCAUUUCAACCCUCAAGCCCUCGGGUUUGGUGUUGGGGAUCGGCGAGCCCUUGCGGCAAGCCGGCCCCGAAAUCUAGUGGCGGUCUCGCUGCAGCUUCCAUUGCGUAGUAGUAAAACCCUCGCAACUGGUACGCGGCGCGGCCAAGCCGUUAAACCCCCAACUUCUGAAUGUUGACCUCGGAUCAGGUAGGAAUACCCGCUGAACUUAA
rnacentral:rRNA from 1 species